AUCAACUUUCGAUGGUAAGGUAUUGGCUUACCAUGGUUUCAACGGGUAACGGAUUUUUAGGGAAAGAUCCCGGAGAGGGAGCCUGAGAAACGGCUACCACAUCCAAGGAAGGCAGCAGGCGCGCAAAUUACCCAAUCCCGACACGGGGAGGUAGUGACAAUAAAUACUGAUACAGGGCUCUUUUGGGUCUUGUAAUCGGAAUGAGUACAAUUUAAAUACCUUAACGAGGAACAAUUGGAGGGCAAGUCUGGUGCCAGCAGCCGCGGUAAUUCCAGCUCCAAUAGCGUAUAUUAAAGUUGUUGCAGUUAAAAAGCUCGUAGUUGAACCUUGGGCCUGGCUGGCUGGUCCGCCUCACCGCGUGUACUGGUCCGGCCGGGCCUUUCCUUCUGGAGAACCGCAUGCCCUUUACUGGGUGUGUCGGGGAACCAGGACUUUUACUUUGAGAAAAUUAGAGUGUUCAAAGCAGGCCUUUGCUCGAAUACGUUAGCAUGGAAUAAUAGAAUAGGACGUGCGGUCCUAUUUUGUUGGUUUCUAGAACCGCCGUAAUGAUUAAUAGGGAUAGUCGGGGGCGUCAGUAUUCAAUUGUCAGAGGUGAAAUUCUUGGAUCUAUUGAAGACUAACUACUGCGAAAGCAUUCGCCAAGGAUGUUUUCAUUAAUCAGUGAACGAAAGUUAGGGGAUCGAAGACGAUCAGAUACCGUCGUAGUCUUAACCGUAAACUAUGCCGACUAGGGAUCGGGCGAUGUUUCUAUAUUGACUCGCUCGGCACCUUACGAGAAAUCAUAAG
rnacentral:rRNA from 1 species